UCUUCAGAAACUGUAGAGUGU
rnacentral:snRNA from 1 species